GAUGAACGCUGGCGGCGUGCCUAAUACAUGCAAGUCGAGCGAACAGACGAGGAGCUUGCUCCUCUGACGUUAGCGGCGGACGGGUGAGUAACACGUGGAUAACCUACCUAUAAGACUGGGAUAACUUCGGGAAACCGGAGCUAAUACCGGAUAAUAUAUUGAACCGCAUGGUUCAAUAGUGAAAGACGGUUUUGCUGUCACUUAUAGAUGGAUCCGCGCCGCAUUAGCUAGUUGGUAAGGUAACGGCUUACCAAGGCGACGAUGCGUAGCCGACCUGAGAGGGGGAUCGGCCACACUGGAACUGAGACACGGUCCAAACCCCUACGGGAGGCAGCAGUAGGGAAUCUUCCGCAAUGGGCGAAAGCCUGACGGAGCAACGCCGCGUGAGGUAUGAAGGGCUUCGGAUCGUAAAACUCUGUUAUUAGGGAAGAACAAAUGUGUAAGUAACUAUGCACGUCUUGACGGUACCUAAUCAGAAAGCCACGGCUAACUACGUG
rnacentral:rRNA from 1 species